rnacentral:rRNA from 1 species
GAUGAACGCUGGCGGCGUGCCUAAUACAUGCAAGUCGAGCGAAUGGAUUAAGAGCUUGCUCUUAUGAAGUUAGCGGCGGACGGGUGAGUAACACGUGGGUAACCUGCCCAUAAGACUGGGAUAACUCCGGGAAACCGGGGCUAAUACCGGAUAACAUUUUGAACCGCAUGGUUCGAAAUUGAAAGGCGGCUUCGGCUGUCACUUAUGGAUGGACCCGCGUCGCAUUAGCUAGUUGGUGAGGUAACGGCUCACCAAGGCAACGAUGCGUAGCCGACCGGGGAGGGUGAUCGGCCACACUGGGACUGGGACACGGCCCAGACGCCUACGGGAGGCAGCAGUAGGGAAGCUUCCGCAAUGGACGAAAGUCUGACGGAGCAACGCCGCGUGAGGGAGGAAGGCUUUCGGGUCGUAAAACUCUGUUGUUAGGGGAGAACAAGUGCUAGUUGAAUAAGCUGACACCUUGACGGUACCUAACCAGAAAGCCACGGCUAACUACGUGCCAGCAGCCGCCGUAA